GACGAACCGUCCUACCGUUGUUCGGAAUCACUGGGCUUAAAGGGCGCGUAGGCGGCUUGCCAAGUCAGGGGUGAAAUCCUGCGGCUUAACCGCAGGGCUGCCUUCUAAACUGUCGAGCUCGAGCACGGUAGAGGCAGAUGGAAUUCCCGGUGUAGCGGUGGAAUGCGUAGAGAUCGGGAAGAACAUCAGUGGCGAAGGCGGUCUGCUGGGCCGUUGCUGACGCUGAGGCGCGACAGCGUGGGGAGCAAACAGG
rnacentral:rRNA from 1 species